UCGGACGUGGUGUACGGCGCACACCCGUUAUAGUAAUCAGAGAUCUGCAGUAGAGAGAGGGAAGCCUGGGUUCGAUUCCCAGUGUCCGAA